UUGGCUGAAAAAUGGUCACAGAGAGAUGAUUGGCUAGGUCAGGGACUCCUUCCUUCCUGUCAGGAACUCCUUUCCUCUCCUCAUUUUUUGGAUAUUNNNNNNNNNNNNNNNNNNNNNNNNNNNNNNNNNNNNNNNNNNNNNNNNNNNNNNNNNNNNNNNNNNNNNNNNNNNNNNNNNNNNNNNNNNNNNNNNNNNNNNNNNNNNNNNNNNNNNNNNNNNNNNNNNNNNNNNNNNNNNNNNNNNNNNNNNNNNNNNNNNNNNNNNNNUGUCAGAGGCAAUCCCCUCCCAUCGGUCACCUGGCUGAGAGACGGACAGAUACUGACCCCGCCCACACACCUGAGCAGAGAGGAUGCUGGGAAUUACACCCUCAUGGCUUUGAACCGUAUCGGAAGAGCCAAUCACACAGUGGAGGUGGAGGUUCUACAUGGCCGUGCUGCUAGAGGAGCUUCCUGUCAGGCUGCUGGGAGUGCCACGGUGGCUGUGCUGCUCCACCAGCUCAUUCAUUGGCCAUAUUGAAUGAUUAUUUUUACUGACUGAACGGUUGAGUUAUUCAUUGACCAAUCAGGACACCGAUCUCUGUGCUGGAGCUUUGUGAUUUGACAGUGAUCUGUGAGGGCAGUCUUCAAUAGAUCUGGAAUCAGAGUUAAUAGAAAACCCUUUUUGCCUAAAUGUGAAAUGAGCUGUUUUGAAAUGUGUUAUUUUGAAGUAGUGCUAUUGAACAGGUCUGUAAUUAAGCAAUGAGGCCCGAGGGGGUGUGGUAUAUGGCCAAUAUACCACGGCUAUGGGCUGUUCUUAUGCACGACACAAAGGUAUAAAUGUUUAUUUCAAAUCCUAAUCUUAAAUGUUUAUUACUAAUAAACUAUAUAAAUGUUUAGGCCUAAUCCUAACCUUAAAUGUUUAUUACUAAUAAACAAUAUAAAUGUUUCGGCCUAAUCCUAACCCAGUCUCUAGCAACAGAUCUACCAUAAUCCUAACCCUAAUCCUAACCCUAAUCCUAACCCAGUCUCUAGCAACAGAUCUGCCAUAAUCCUUAUUGCAAUGUGUUGUCUAUGUCUUUUGUGACGAAUAAAAGUUGACCCAUAAACUGUCAUUGGUUUAACAUAUUUGUUAUCAGGUUGGCUGCGAUGAUGAUGAGUGUGGGUGGAUGUGUUUGUGUGUAGGUGACGUAGCCGCGCCACGUUAUGCAUUUUCAACCAGAUCCACAGGAGAAGAGUCGUCACGAGUUACCACAGGGUUUGUGCUAACCGGGAUCCUUGGGAUGUCACUAACCUAAAUCCUAAAACCUAACCACUACCAUUUGAAAUGUCGACUUCAAUGUGGUAGUGCGGUAUGGACGUCCCAGUGAUCCCGGAUAGCAUGGAUCCGUAAAGUAAAAAACCCUGCAUAUAUUGUUACAAUUCUCUUCUUAAAAUCAGAUGUUAAACCCCAACCACACAGAACGCACACUCCAACUGCCUCUGCAACGCAAUGCUGCAAGGCGCAACGCAGCGUUCCAUUGGAAAUGAAUGUAAUUCUGGUGUACCAAAAUGCUAUGACGCUGUCGGCGUGUGAUGGAAGCGCUCGGCAGAAUGAUGGAGACGACGGGGUCAGUCCUGGUAUAAGUAGAGCUACUGCAGGACAUGUUGUUAAUGUUGUGGCUCCAGACACUGAUACCAGACCUGUUCAGAAAUCUUGUUCUCACACACAAAUGUGUCACGCAAAAAAUAGUUAAUCCGAUUGACUUGAUAACCUUUCUAAUGAAGGCUAGGUCAAAGGUCAUCAACCUGGCUGCGUUUGUGGAAAGAAAAACGACCAUGUUGAAGGUCAUUGUGGAAGCAGCAACAGAGUUUUUAGGAGUAAACAGAUGUUACUGUCUCCAUGAUUGUUGAUAUGUAAUACUAAUGAUGGAAUGUCUCAGUAUGAUGAUAAUUAGAGUUGUGUUUUUUUUGUUAUCCUUCAGUGGAAUACCAGAAGCCUUUUUGCUAACUGGCCAGAAGCCUUUUUGCUAACUGGCCAGAAGCCUUUUUGCUAACUGGCCAGAAGCCUUUUUGCUAACUGGCCAGGAGUUUAAGAAAUGUGUAAUAGAUCUAGAGAUCCAACCUGAUGUGUUCAAGAAACAUGGCUUAGACCACGUCUUGAAUGUAUUGUUCCUGGUUACUGUCCAAUCAGAUCUGAUAUAUCAUCUGGACAUUGUGGUGGCUGUGCUACGUUCCUAAGGGAAGGUCUUGUAUAUAUUGUAAUAUAACUGUCCCAUCUGAAUAUCAAUGAUGUGAUGGUGGAAAUCUACAGUGCAGUUACAACCCCAUGUCGUCGACUAUCUGUAGCGAUGUUUGAUGAAAUAUCAGGAUGAUUGGGCACUAGGGAGAUAUGGUGUGGCGACUAGUAGUUUAUGGGAAAGCACACAUACAGAUGCUAAUGCUCUCUCAUUAUUUGUUACUUUUAUUUCUUAUUUUUUACUUAACACCGUUUUUCUAAACUGCAUUGUUGGUGAAUAAGGCGUAAACAUUUCACUGUAAAGGAUCGACACCUGUUGUAUUCGGCGCUUGCGACAAAUUUGAUGGUAAUGGUAUUAUUGUGGAAGAUACGAUGGAAACAAGAUCAUUAGUGUGUCAUGACGGAUGUGGUGUGGUGCAAGAGUUGAUGUCGUUACAGGGUUUUUAUUUUUUUAAUUUGACCUUUAUUUAAAUAGGCAACAAAUUCUUAUUUUCAAUGACGGCCUAGGAACAGUGGGUUAACUGCCUUGUUCAGGGGCAGAACGCCAGAUUUGUACCUCGUCAGCUCGGGGAUUUGAACUUGCAACCUUCCGAUUACUAGUCCAACGCUCUAACCAACCACUAGGCUACCCUGCCACCCGGGUGCGGAAGGAAAUUACAUUGUAGACCAGUUAGCCAAAAGAGUUUUGAAAUGAGAUAUAAUUGAUAUUAAUGUUCCACUGGGUAGAGAUGAGGCCAAAUGUAGGUAGGAUGAGAACCAUUUUGAUAGAUGUGUGACAGAAGAGAUGGGACUCUGAGCCCAAGGCCUGGGAUUUAUAUGCCCUCUAAAGAAAGGUUGUGGACCAAGAUGCAAAGGAAGAGGUGGUGUUUGCUCGAUUGCGCUUUGGACAUUGUACAUUGAACUCGUCAUUACAUCUGUUUGGCAAGCAUGUGAAUGGCUUGUGUCUCGAGUAUAUGGCCGAUGAAACGAUGGAGUAUGUGUUGGUAUAUUGUUGUAAGUGUGUUUUAAGAGAGGGACAGAUUGAAGUAUAGGGUCAUUGAGGUUGGAAGGUAUUUUGAGGAUGGGGGAGGGUCUGUUAGAAGUUAGUAGGCUUUUUUUCUCAGAAAUACUGAGUUAGGUAGGAUGAUUUAGAGAUGUUGUAAACCGGGAUUGUGCACCCACUCCAGCACAGUAGGUGGCGGCAUGCACCUUUAAAGUUGGUUUGCGGACCGCCGUUAUAUCAUAGAAGAAGAAGUGGCCAUAGGAAAGCGGAAGUCAUUUCGCUUCCGGCCUACACUGGCGAGUCUUCACCAAAUAUUCUGUGCUUGGCAUACUUUAUACACUCGAUCUAUAAAGUACAUCGACAAACUGACCUCAGAGCAACGACAAUUCAAUCUCAAUGUCAACGAAAGUAACGGUCGUGGAAACUUUGGACUUGUCCUUUUACCGCUGGUGAGUUAGCAUGCUAUCGUUAGCUAACUGUAAGCUAAAUAGGCAGCGCCAACUCAAUGAAUAUGUGCGGUAAAUGUAUGUCUUUAUAGAAUAGUGGAAGGUUUAUUUGUGUACAUUUAUUUGUGUCUUAUUCAAUCAAGGUUAACGUUUUUUUAUGUAUACACGUAUGAUAUAGUCAUGUUCUAGAGACGAUUUGGUGAAUUACGUCACGAAAUGAGAUGCGUUCCCUUAAAAUGGUUCCCUCCACACACAACUUUUUAAAUAUUAGAAUAUACGAUUACAACAUAGCUUCACAGAAUACAGUAGAUAGUAUUAUAUAAAUAACAUCUAUGGUCCUCUCUUUAUAACAUCCUAAAAUACACUGGAGACAUUCAGAAACAUAAUUAGAAUGCAUCAAUUUAACUUUUUUUUUUUUUUUGUAAAAAUGAGUUUUCUCUGAUAUGAAAGAAGAAGGUCCUUAUGCUUCUAAACCUUACCACACGUGUUGUGUGUUAAUGUUCUGACCAAGCAUCGGGGCUAUUAACAAAACUCCCCUGUACAGAAGAUUCCUUCAUCCAAUUACUUGUAUGUGUAAUGCAGUCAGGAUCAAGGGCUUGGGAGGGUGCAACUAAGACCCCAGAAAUGACAAGGGUUUCAGUAAGAGGACUAACUGGUGUCUCCAAGUGGCCACACACCUCUUCAAUGUGUGUUCUGAUACUAAGUCAUCUCAUUGCACUUUGACACAGCGAAAGAGCCAUCAUCUUUAAGGUGUUUUAAAAAAAAAACUCUCCUAGCUUUGCCAUUGAGGAACUGAAGAUAGCACUUGUAGUUUUUUGGGGUUUGGAACCCAGUCCUGCAUCUCCAUAUCUACCCUGCAUCUCCAAGAUGCUUAUAUGAAUGACAUCAGAGUGGAAUUUAUUCUAAUCCUUAACUCAGUCCUUAACUUAACUUAGUCCUCUCUUACUCAGACAACACAAUGCGCAGAAGUCCCAAUUAGCAGGAGGGAUGGGUGUGAGAUCUUGUUGUGUGUGUGUGUGGUGCUCACGUUUUUAGAGCAUCUAUCAGUUGACUCUCAUACAGCUCUGAGCUCUGACAUCAUGUGUAGAAUGUUACUGUACAGCCACUGUGUUCCAAUGUAAUUCCCUUAUCAGUGACCUAAUCUGAGCAUCUAUCAGUUGAAUCUCAUACAGCUCUGACAUCAUGUGUAGAAUGUUACUGUACAGCCACUGUGUUCCAAUGUAAUUCCCUUAUCAGUGACCUAAUCAGACAUUUUCAACCCGUUUACGGGCUAGAGUGUAAAGUGUUGAUUAAUAGCCUCUAAAUACUAAUGUUAAAUAAACAUACAAUGUACAUAAAAAGCAUUAAUUGAUAUUACAACAGCAUGUCGGUUUCACAUCAAAAGUUGAAAUGCCAUGGAAAUAUUCAAUCGGUAACAUGUGAGCAGUAAACAUCAAAGUAUUGGAUAUAUAUAUAUUUUGACACUAUCCUUCUACUA
rnacentral:lncRNA from 13 species